rnacentral:rRNA from 1 species
UACGUAGGGACCAAGCGUUGUUCGGAUUUACUGGGCGUAAAGGGCGCGUAGGCGGCAAUUCAAGUCAUCUGUGAAAUCUCCGGGCUUAACCCGGAACGGUCAGAUGAUACUGCUUUGCUAGAGUGCGGAAGGGGCAAUCGGAAUUCUCGGUGUAGCGGUGAAAUGCGUAGAUAUCGAGAGGAACACCUGCGGCGAAGGCGGGUUGCUGGGCUGACACUGACGCUGAUGUGCGAAAGCUAGGGGAGCGAACGGG